UUCCGGUUGAUCCUGCCGGAGGUUACUGCUAUCGAGGUUCGACUAAGCCAUGCGAGUCGAAUGCCGCAAGGCAUGGCGCACUGCUCAGUAACACGUGGACAACCUACCCUGAGGACGGGUAUAAACCCGGGAAACUGGGUAUAAUCCCCGAUAGUCCUCGGCUGCUGGAAUGCACCGAGGACGAAAGCUCCGGCGCCUUAGGAUGGGUCUGCGGCCUAUCAGGUAGUAGUGGGUGUAACGUACCUACUAGCCUACGACGGGUACGGGUUGUGAGAGCAAGAGCCCGGAGAUGGAUUCUGAGACACGAAUCCAGGCCCUACGGGGUGCAGCAGGCGCGAAAACUUUACAAUGCUGGCAACAGCGAUAAGGGGACCUCGAGUGCCAGGUUACAAAUCUGGCUGUCGUGAUGCC
rnacentral:rRNA from 1 species